rnacentral:rRNA from 1 species
AUUCCAGCUCCAGUAGCGUAUAUUAAAGUUGUUGCAGUUAAAAAGCUCGUAGUUGGAUUUCUGGCUUGAGACGCCUGAGCCGCCAGGGUUACCUGUGUGAGUCUCGGUGUGUCUCUGCCAUCCUUCUGGAUAGCGUGUCUACCUUUUAUUAGGCCGGGCUCGUGCUCCAGAUCUUUUACUUUGAAAAAAUUAGAGUGUUUAAAGCAAGCUUGCGCUAGGAAUACAUUAGCAUGGAAUAAUAACUUAGGACUUUGGUUCUAUUUUGUUGGUUUCUAGGACUGAAGUAAUGAUUGAUAGGGAUAGUUGGGGGUGCUAGUAUUCAGCGGCCAGAGGUGAAAUUCUUGGAUUCGCUGAAGACUAACUUAUGCGAAAGCAUUCACCAAGGAUGUCUUCAUCA